GGUGAGGUGGGUGAGUGGCUUAAACCAACAGUUUGCUAAACUGUCGUAGAGUAACUUCUACCGGGGGUUCGAAUCCCCCCCUCACCG
rnacentral:tRNA from 1 species